GCUGGGUGUGGUGGCGCGCGCCUGUAAUCCCAGUUACUCAGGAGGCUGAGGCAGGAGAAUUGCUUGAACCCAGGAGGCAGAGGUUGCAGUGAGCUGAGAUCAUACCACUGCACUCCAGUCUGGGUAACAGAGCAAGACUCUGUCUUAA
ensembl:misc_RNA Metazoa_SRP Metazoan signal recognition particle RNA